rnacentral:rRNA from 1 species
UACAGAGGGUGCGAGCGUUGUCCGGAAUCACUGGGCGUAAAGGGCGCGUAGGCGGCUUGGUAAGGUUGCGGUGAAAGCCCGGGGCUCAACCCCGGGUCGGCCGUGGCAACUGCUGAGCUAGAGCACUGUAGAGGCAGGUGGAAUUCCGGGUGUAGCGGUGGAAUGCGUAGAGAUCCGGAAGAACACCGGUGGCGAAGGCGGCCUGCUGGGCAGUGGCUGACGCUGAGGUGCGAAAGCGUGGGGGAGCAAACAGG